CGAUCCUACGGGAGGCAGCAGUAGGGAAUCUUCCACAAUGGGCGAAAGCCUGAUGGAGCAACGCCGCGUGGGUGAAGAAGGUCUUCGGAUCGUAAAACCCUGUUGUUAGAGAAGAAAGUGCGUGAGAGUAACUGUUCACGUUUCGACGGUAUCUAACCAGAAAGCCACGGCUAACUACGUGCCAGCAGCCGCGGUAAUACGUAGGUGGCAAGCGUUAUCCGGAUUUAUUGGGCGUAAAGGGUGCGUAGAUGGUUGAUAUAAGUCUUUUGUAAAAAUGCUAGGCUCAACCUAGUAGGGCAAAAGAU
rnacentral:rRNA from 1 species